GACGAACGCUGGCGGCGCGCUUAACACAUGCAAGUCGAACGGAAAGGCCCUGCUUCUGUUGUGUGCUCGAGGUGCGAACGGGUGAAUAACGCGUGAGUCACCUGCCUGUGACUUUGGGAUAACGUCAGUAAACUGGGGCUAAUGCCGGAUAUUCGCGCCUGCUGCAUGGUGGGGGUUGUAAAGUUUCGGCGGUUGGGGAUGGACUCGCGGCUUAGCAGCCUGUUGGUGGGGUAGUGGCUUACGAAGUCGUUGACGGGUAGCCGGCCGGAGAGGGUGACCGGCCACACUGGGAAGGAGACUCCGCCAAGAAUCAGACGGGAGGAAGACGCGGGGAAUAGUGGCCAAUGGGCGGAAGGCUGAGGGAGCAACGCCGGGUGUGGGAUGACGGCCUUCGGGUUGUCACCAGCUUGCGCCCGUGAUGAAGCGGGAGUGACGGUAAUGGGUAAAGAAGCACCGGCUAACUACGUG
rnacentral:rRNA from 1 species